GACGAACGCUGGCGGCGUGCCUAAUACAUGCAAGUAGAACGCUGAAGAGAGGAGCUUGCUCUUCUUGGAUGAGUUGCGAACGGGUGAGUAACGCGUAGGUAACCUGCCUUGUAGCGGGGGAUAACUAUUGGAAACGAUAGCUAAUACCGCAUAACAAUGGAUGACACAUGUCAUUUAUUUGAAAGGGGCAAUUGCUCCACUACAAGAUGGACCUGCGUUGUAUUAGCUAGUAGGUGAGGUAAUGGCUCACCUAGGCGACGAUACAUAGCCGACCUGAGAGGGUGAUCGGCCACACUGGGACUGAGACACGGCCCAGACUCCUACGGGAGGCAGCAGUAGGGAAUCGUCGGCAAUGGGGGCAACCCUGACCGAGCAACGCCGCGUGAGUGAAGAAGGUUUUCGGAUCGUAAAGCUCUGUUGUAAGUCAAGAAAGGGUGUGAGAGUGGAAAGUUCACACUGUGACGGUAGCUUACCAGAAAGGGACGGCUAACUACGUG
rnacentral:rRNA from 1 species